UAAAAACAUGUCUUUUUGUUUUUAUAUAAGGUCAGACCUGCCCAAUGAAUUUUAAAUGGCCGCAGUACUUUAACUGUGCAAAGGUAGCAUAAUAAUUUGUUUUUUAAUUGGAAACUAGUAUGAAUGGUCAUACGAGGGAUUGACUUUCUUUAUCUUACUUAAAUUAAUUUUAUUUUUCUGUGAAAAAGCAGAAAUUUCAUUAGUAGACGAUAAGACCCUUUAAAACUUUAUUCAUUAUAGAAGUAUAAUUUUGUUAGGUUUUAAUAGUGUACUUUUUUAAUGAGUUUUGUUGGGGCGACAGGUAAAUUUAUUUAACUUUAUUUUUGUUUUUCACUAAUUAGUGUUUAUUUGAUCCAGAUUUAGUUUUGAUUAUAAGUUUAAGUUACUUUAG
rnacentral:rRNA from 1 species